UUAUUUUUUAAAUUCGUACUUUUUAAAAAAUUAAUAUCUUUAAUUGAAAUUUAAAAACAUAAAUUUUUUUACGUUUUUAAACAGUAGGUUUUUUUUUUUCAAAAUGCAUUCUCAAAUAAUAUACUUUUAGCGAUUUUAUUUAAAAUUACACUUUUAACAUACGAAACCAUCAGACUAAACAAACUCUAACAAACAAUCCAAAACACAACAAUUCAAAAAGGCAUAAAAAUCAAGUUAUAUCCAAGUAAAGGUUAUUGUCGACUUUCCACAGGUUUUAUAGCAUGGGCGCCUGGAACAAACAGGCACAUGCAACUCUUGUGGCCUGGCAUUAUGGAGAGAAAUAGAUGGAGGGAGAAGUGUGGAUUUAAAUGCUCUGGACCGGCUUUCUGCUUUGGUAGUCGCGGUUUUUAAUGCUCAUGCAGAGCCCCUUGGCCUUCUUAAAUUCCCCCCCAGACAUUCUCACCUCUCCUCACACUCCUUUCAAAACUUUUACCCCUCUUUCUCUAUCCGCUAUCUUAUGGGGCUUCUUCAACCCUAGCUUCCAUGUCUUCUCUAUAUUAACAACUUCGAUCUUUUAGUUUUACAUGUCCCUCAUGGGCCUUUUUCAGGGCAACAACGAAGAAAGAUAUAUACGUGAAAUGGUUACUUCGAUAUUGGCCUGGUUCACUCAGAAAAGGAAAUAUAUUUCUUCUUUUGAUUGAGCCGUGCCAAUAUCUGAGUGCCUUUUCAUUUUUUCCGGACUCCCCCACUGAUUUUGCGAGUUAGCUUUAGUUUUCCUGAUAUGGUGUGGGCAUUUUUAUUUUUAUUUUCAAAAUAAUCUCAUGCAGCUUUUCUAUUUGACUUCUUUCACUUCUCAUGCAGUGAAGAGCACAAAUUAAUCAGAGACAGAAACACAUCCUUGAAGCAGGAAAAGGUCAGGUGGGAACUGCAUGGAACUUUGCAACUUGGGAAGUUUGUUUUAUGAAAGUUGCUGACAUAUGAUCUGAAAUCUUUGGAAAAUCUUAUAUUGUCAUUGUUAAUGUUACAUAAGACUAUUAGCAGUGGGCUACAGCUAGUUUGCUGGUUUAUAAAUAAAGGGUUGUAUAUGGUUUUUUUUUUUCUUUCUUCUGAAGAUCUUAGAAAAAAACAAAGAAGAAAAAGAAAGCGAAGAGGCAGACAGACGUCUGCAGGCUGUGUUUGUCAAAGUAUGCCAUCUAAUUUCCAUGACAGACUGUGAUUUAGUGUUACGGGGAAGAAUCUUGUAGCAUUUAAUGGAUUCUCUAUAUUUCUAUGUAAAAUACAUCAUCAAAAACUAAUUUUUUAAUUUUAGCUAAUGACUCGCAAAAUACUUCAAAUCAUUUUUACCCUUAUGUUACAGCAAAAUAUAUAUAUAUAUAUAUAUAUAAAGUGUUUUCUAAACCAGCUAGUACAAACUACAAAGGCUCAGACCACGUAUAUAUAUAUAACCAAAUGCUUCAAGCUCAUGUGUUUUCACCAAAAAGUAGUGGGUCUCCGAAGUAAUUUUGUUCGUGGUCGAAUCAGGUCGUUCGAUGAUUUACUUCAUGAUUUUGCCCAUAUAUAUUUGAAGAAAACAUUGGAUCCCAGAGAUCAAGCUAGAUCAUUUGACAGCGACGGAAGUAUGGCACACGUACUACUUAGUGUGCUUCUAUGAGAAUAUAAUGUGGACGGUUCAAAAGAAUCGAAAGUAGGGAGGGUGUAAAAGAAACCUUAGGUGGUUCGAAAAGCAGUAUAUAUAUAUAUAUAUAUAUUAUAGAUUCAAGCAAUUUUUUGGCGAGAAAUGCAAAGACAUCUACCCUUAUCUUUUUCUCAUUCUUCCAAUUCUUAUCAUCACUAUUAGAUCUAUGAAUUUAUUUAUGUCUUAUGCGCAAAACUCACAAAUUCAAUGGUAAUGAUGAAAUUUGAGAGAAUGAUCAAAAAAUGAUAAGAAUAAAUGUCAUAGUAUUUCUUUUUUCUAGCAAUUUAAAAAAUAAACAUGAGAGAGCUUUUGUAAGGCUCACCUAACGGAACAGGCUAGGGGACACAGUUGCUUGAAACUUAUUUGGACAUAUCAGUUUUAUAUGUGUUAUCUCAUAUUUGCUGUUCAAAUUACUAACAAUUCGAACUUUAAAAUUGUUAAGGAUUUCAAUUUCAAAAAAUAGGGGGUGUAAAAGAAACCUUAGGCCUCAUUAUUUUAAGGCAAUUUGAUAAACCUUAAGCCUUCUAACAAACUUAAACGUAUAUAUGUAACAAUGUGUUGUUUCCUUUUAUUCUAUUUUGAUUUUUUAAAAAUAUUUAUUUAUUUAUCAUAAAUAUUUGUGGAAAGAACAAAAAUGGAUGAGAUCCAUCAUAUAUACAGUUUCAAUUCCACCUCAAACUAACUAUUCUACAUUAAGCACAAUUUUGCUAAAUAUUACACUAUUUAAUUUCCAUUUUACGAGCGAAUUCCAACCACAACUUAUAUACCCAACUCAUUAAUUAUGUGAGUCAAUGUCUUGCAUUGGCUUAGAGUGCAUUUGGCCCGGUGAUUUCACAAGUCAAAUGAGUAUUUUUAAACAAAAUUAUAAAAAAUGUCAGGUUUGAGAGUGUGUUUAAAAAAAAUGACAGUUUGAGAAUGCGGAAAAAAAAAUCAUGUUUUUGAGCAACAAACAAGGGAUGUGUUUUUCAAAAUAUAUGAUUUAAAAGGUAAUUUAAGGCAUUAUUUUUCAAACCUUAAAUUUUACCAAAUAUUUAAUUAAGAUUUUAAAAAUCAGAUUUUUAUUAACUAAGUUCUAAAAUUGCUUCUUCUUUUUUUUUUUUUGAAGUGUAGAAAAUGAUAUUUGCUAGGGGUGAGUAGAACCCGCCCCAACCCGCACAACCCGGCCGACCCGCCCCAACCCGCUCCGAAUUUUGCGAUUUUUUAGUGUUUUUUCGCGGGUACGGGUUAUAUUUUUGGAUACCCGGACGAGUCGGUUCGGAUUGCGGGUUUAAUUUUUCACAACCCGCAAUACCCGACCCGACCCGACCCGUAUAUAUAUGUAUA
rnacentral:precursor_RNA from 1 species